UGAAAGUGUUUAUAUGUUUUCCCUGCAAAAGGUUACAAUCCCCACUGAGGUUCUAUGCUCAAGCAGUCAACCAUGUAGUCCUCAACUACGGAUAAUUCCCCCAGCCCAACUCAGCGGUGACCUUCCAGCUUUUAUUCCGGUGUUGGACUCUGACUGAAGGGCAUCCAGUCUAUUGGUUGAGUGACACCAAUCAGAUUAUCUAACAAGAAUUUAAAUGAGAGACAGAAAUUGUGAUUUGUCUGCAGAGCAGCCAAUAUCCUAAACCAAAGGAACAAUUCCAUCAACUUCCUUGCUGCAAUCCUGGGUUCCAGCACAUUUGCAGUAAGUUUCUGCAGUUAAUUUACUUUUAGCUAAUAUGCUUUUAGUUAGAGAUUCUUUUUAAAAAUGAACAUUGCAUAUAUCAAAGCUUAUAUUAUACAAAUUGCAUGCAAUAGCAGUCCUGAGUUUGGUACAGGAGAACAAUGGGGAACCUAGAAUGAUGCAUCUCACUGAAUAUACUCUACCAUGAGGGGAAAAGUUAGAUAACAGAAAUAGUCACCAAAUUUGAAAAAAUGUGAAGAUUCAGAGACUUAAAUCAAAGAGAGGUAGAAUCUAAUUCUUAUCCAUGAUGAUAAAUUAAGCUAGUAAAGAGUAGAAAAGCUGGUAAGGAUGAUGUAAAUUUCCUCAAAAACCUUCUGGGGGAAAAAUACAAAAGAAUACAUUUUUUCACAUGUAAACAUGUUGUUUUGAGGUUGAGUUAACAAUUUUGGGGAUCCCGCUCUGAAGUGAGUGCUUUUAGAGGUAAAAGUUUCAAAGAGAACAAAAUUAAAGCUUAAAGAAGUGUGGUGACUUUC
rnacentral:lncRNA from 1 species